AGUGAACGCUGGCGGUAGGCCUAACACAUGCAAGUCGAACGGCAGCACAGUAAGAGCUUGCUCUUACGGGUGGCGAGUGGCGGACGGGUGAGGAAUACAUCGGAAUCUACUUUUUCGUGGGGGAUAACGUAGGGAAACUUACGCUAAUACCGCAUACGGCCUACGGGUGAAAGCAGGGGAUCUUCGGACCUUGCGCGAUUGUAUGAGCCGAUUUCGGAUUAGCUAGUUGGCGGGGUAAAGGACCACCAAGGCGACGAUCCGUAGCGGGUCUGAGAGGAUGAUCAGCCACACUAGAACUGAGACACGGUCAAGACUCCUACGGGAGGAAGCAGUGGAGAAUAUUGGACAAUGGGCGCAAACCUGACCCAGCCAUGCCGCGUGGGUGAAGAAGGCCUUCGGGUUGUAAGGCCCUUUUGUUGGGAAAGAAAAGCAGCAGGUUAAGACCCCGCUGUUCUGACGGUACCCAAAGAAUAAGCACCGGCUAACUUCGUG
rnacentral:rRNA from 1 species